GGAACAUCCAAUUAAGAACAUAUCCAUGAGGUAUGCCAAGGGACCACCUAUAAAAAUAUGGAAAUCUGGCCCAGAUCAGAUGCUAUCUAUACUUAUGUUAAGCAUCUUCAGAGACACCAUGGAUGAUCUUCAUUCUGAAUCCCAGGAAGAAUUCUGGAAAGCAAUCACCUACCUCUUGAUAUUUUCUCCGUCAGAUAUUACCUAAAGGUUUUUAUUUUUAAUUUACUCUCAUCUAGACACAGUUCUUUUUGGGGUUGAGAAAAGUUUAUUUUCAGAACUAAAAAUUAGCUUUUUGCCCCAGCAAAAAGAUGAGAUGAUAUUUUCAAGGAAAUGUCUCCCUACAAAUUUGACAGUUUUUUUUUUUUAAUUGCUUAGUGAAUACUGAAUUCACUGCUAAAAAUAAAGGCAUGCCUUUUGGUAGUUUAUGAAGAGCAU
rnacentral:lncRNA from 1 species